GUACUAUGUUGGUUCCAACAAUUCCAUUCAGGUGGCUUGUGUUCAAAAUGUCUUGGAUUCAUUGAUUCCAGCAUUAUUGGCUGAUAAAAACAGAAAGUUCAUUUAUGUUGAACAGGCUUUUUUCCAGCGUUGGUGGAGGAAUCAGAGCCCGGGAAUGCAGAGCACAGUCAAACAGCUCGUCAACUCGGGUCAACUUGAGUUCAUAAAUGGAGGUUGGUGCAUGCAUGAUGAGGCAGCAACACAUUAUAUUGACAUGAUAGAUCAGACAACUCUAGGGCAUAAAUACAUCAAACAACAGUUCAAUGUUACUCCUAGAAUUGGCUGGCAAAUCGACCCUUUUGGACAUUCUGCUGUUCAGGCAUACCUUCUGGGAGCAGAGGUUGGAUUCGACUCUCUUUUCUUUGGACGCAUUGACUACCAAGACAGAGAAAAGAGGAAAAUUGAGAAGAGCCUUGAGGUCAUUUGGAGGGGUUCUAAGAGUCUCAGUUCAUCCACGCAAAUAUUUUCAGGUGCAUUCCCUCAGAAUUAUGAACCUCCCAGCAAAUUUUACUUUGAAGUGAAUGAUGAUAAUUCUCUUCCUGUUCAGGAUGAUGUCAACCUGUUUGACUACAAUGUCCAAGAGCGGGUCAAUGACUUUGUUG
rnacentral:misc_RNA from 1 species